CCUACGUGAGACAGCAGUGAGGAAUAUUGGUCAAUGGGCGCGAGCCUGAACCAGCCAAGUCGCGUGAGGGAAGACGGUCCUAUGGAUUGUAAACCUCUUUUGUCGGGGAGCAAAAGACGCCACGCGUGGCGUUCCGAGAGUACCCGAAGAAAAAGCAUCGGCUAACUCCGUGCCAGCAGCCGCGGUAAUACGGAGGAUGCGAGCGUUAUCCGGAUUUAUUGGGUUUAAAGGGUGCGCAGGCGGAAGAUCAAGUCAGCGGCAAAAUUGAGAGGCUCAACCUCUUCGAGCCGUUGAAACUGGUUUUCUUGAGUGAGCGAGAAGUAUGCGGAAUGCGUGGUGUAGCGGUGAAAUGCAUAGAUAUCACGCAGAACUCCGAUUGCGAAGGCAGCAUACCGGCGCUCAACUGACGCUCAUGCACGAAAGCGUGGGUAUCGAACAGGAUUAGAUACCCUAGUAGUC
rnacentral:rRNA from 1 species